rnacentral:rRNA from 1 species
GACGAACGCUGGCGGCGUGCCUAAUACAUGCAAGUAGAACGCUGAGGGAGGAGCUUGCUUCUCUGGAUGAGUUGCGAACGGGUGAGUAACGCGUAGGUAACCUGCCUGGUAGCGGGGGAUAACUAUUGGAAACGAUAGCUAAUACCGCAUAAUAGUAGAUGUUGCAUGACAUUUGCCUAAAAGGUGCAAUUGCAUCACUACCAGAUGGACCUGCGUUGUAUUAGCUAGUUGGUGGGGUAACGGCUCACCAAGGCGACGAUACAUAGCCGACCUGAGAGGGGGAUCGGCCACACUGGGACUGAGACACGGCCCAGACUCCUACGGGAGGCAGCAGUAGGGAAUCUUCGGCAAUGGACGGAAGUCUGACCGAGCAACGCCGCGUGAGUGAAGAAGGUUUUCGGAUCGUAAAGCUCUGUUGUAAGAGAAGAACGAGUGUGAGAGUGGAAAGUUCACACUGUGACGGUAUCUUACCAGAAAGGGACGGCUAACUACGUG